AACGAACGUUAGCGGCGCGCCUAACACAUGCAAGUCGAGCGAGAAAGGGGUAACCCCGGUAAAGCGGCGCACGGGUGAGUAACACGUAGGUAAUCUACCCCCAGGUGGUGGAUAACCUUCCGAAAGGAGGGCUAAUACAGCAUGAGACCACGAUCCCGAAAGGGAUUGAGGUCAAAGCCGGCCUCUUCAUGAAAGCUGGCGCCAGGGGAUGAGCCUGCGGCCCAUCAGCUAGUUGGUAGGGUAACGGCCUACCAAGGCGAAGACGGGUAG
rnacentral:rRNA from 1 species